rnacentral:lncRNA from 1 species
UGCGGUCUCUGAUCAGCUAUCCUGCCUGACACAGGAACCAGAGUGAGAAGUCCGAACUAGAACACCUGUUAUGCGAGAAUGAUAUGUAUAUGAUGUGCGUAAUGCAUAUGCAGAUUACAUUUCUUUUUCUGUGCAUAUAUUGUAUUUUUUUUUUUGAAGAUAGACAUGCUAUGAUGCAAGUUAUGCAGACAUGACUGGUCAGCUGCGUGUCACACGACACAGGAUCAAAACUCCGGCUUGAACUCAGAAUCACCCAUUCAUCUGAAACCCCAAAGUCAUCUGGUCAACUGUCAUCUGAGCCCAAUCUGAAGAACCAAACCUACAUCUGUGCAACCUCAAACUCAGCCCAGGGAUCCGAAAUAAACGGAACCCUCUGAUACUGGCCAAGGUCAAACCUCCGGCGUCCAAAAAUAGAGAUCCAUGAAUCCGGCUGAAC